UUCCGUAGGUGAACCUGCGGAAGGAUCAUUCGCACAUGUCCAAAACAACUCAUGUGAAUUACUCUGUGAGGGUCUGCGUGCGGGAAGUCGAAGGUGAUGACGCACGUGGAUGCUCAAGGGUGGUGGGGGCGCGUCGGACCGUCUUCCGGCGCGUCGCUGCUGCCUUGCCCAAUGUCUCAGCAUUUUCUACAUAUUCACAGUUACGUGGCUUCAGCCAAUGCUCACAUACAACUUUCAGCGAUGGAUGUCUCGGUUCGAUCAACGAUGAAGGGCGCAGCGAAGUGCGAUAAGCAUUGUGAAUUGCAGAAUUCCGUGAACCGACAGGGACUUGAACGCAUAUUGUGCUUUUGGGAUAUCCCUGAAAGCAUGCCUGCUUCAGUGUCUGUGCAUUGUCGUUCCAGUAGCUCUUCCUUUCUGGCACGAGCUGCUGCGAUUCCUUGUGCCUCACGAUGUGCACGGGCUUUCGUGAGGCACGUGAUUGAAACAUGCCUUGCUGCAGCAAUCAGCUUAUUAAGCACAUUGUGUGCAGAUAACUGUUUGCUUUGCGUCACAAGUGCGAAUCUCUUGCUUGCUUGCAAGCUCUCAAGACAUGAAGUUAGGUCAGCAAACCCGCUGAAUUUAAGCAUAUCAAUA
rnacentral:rRNA from 1 species